CGGGCUGUGCAUGAGGGAGUCAGCCAGAGAAGACUGAUAACUCCUUCUUCUGUUAUCAAAAGUAUUGGACAUGGCAAUUUAGUGGAAUUUACAAAUCUCAAGGAAGACAUUUGAAUGUAAGUACAGACACUAUACGCAGUCCCAGACAUCUGACUUUUUGAUUGCCUAUUGUUACGAAUUUGCUCUAUCUCCAUUACUUUCUGGUUAUGGUAGCUCUCAGAAGGGGACUUUAUUUCAGCAGAGUUUCAUAUUGUGUUUAUAAUCUCUUACUACUACUAACAAAGUCCUGGAAGAUGGGCUUAACCUCUGCAAUGUGAGCAUGCAGAAGAAAAAGGGUCUUUAAACUCACUCAGCAGAAACUCCAGGAGGGCCCCCUAAAGCUCCUGGGUCUGGAUAUUUUAACAAACAUUACUGUGUAUACACCUACCAAAGUGAAGACACAGUGAAUUAAUUCCAUACAAAAAAGUAAAUUCAGCUGGGAAGCUUAAGGUUUUUCAUAUUCUCCUUGGCAUCAAAACCUCCAUGCACAUAGUAAUAGGGACACGUGACAGCCCCCUUGCUUUCUGAAGUUUUCCCUUUCCCGUUUGAAAAGAGAGCCAAUAAUUUGAAAAUCUGUCAGGAGUGGCCCAAAAUCCAACAAUGGGUAGCACAUUUAUAAGUCAACCCAAGAUGAACAUAAAAGGGUAAUGACAGAUUACUGGCCAUGAAA
rnacentral:lncRNA from 1 species